UACGGGGGGAGCAAGCGUUGUUCGGAUUUACUGGGCGUAAAGGGCGCGUAGGCGGUCGUGACAAGUCACUUGUGAAAUCUCCGGGCUUAACUCGGAACGGUCAAGUGAUACUGUCGGACUAGAGUACAGAAGGGGCAACUGGAAUUCUCGGUGUAGCGGUGAAAUGCGUAGAUAUCGAGAGGAACACCUGCGGCGAAGGCGGGUUGCGUGGGCUGAUACUGACGCUGAGGCGCGAAAGCCAGGGGAGCGAACGGGG
rnacentral:rRNA from 1 species